rnacentral:misc_RNA from 1 species
UAAUCAAGUGUUUUUAUGGCACUUUCAAAAAUCCAUAUCCACCUUGUGUGCAAUGUCAUCUCUCUGGGGGGCUGCCGGCUGUCAAAAGCCGUGUGGUCACCUUUGGGAUUUAUAUCUACUCAGAACUUUAGUGAUUUUGUCUGAAACAUAUUAUGAAUACUUAAUUCAAAAUA